rnacentral:rRNA from 1 species
UGGGGAAUAUUGGACAAUGGGCGAAAGCCUGAUCCAGCCAUGCCGCGUGUGUGAAGAAGGUCUUCGGAUUGUAAAGCACUUUAAGUUGGGAGGAAGGGCAUUAACCUAAUACGUUAGUGUUUUGACGUUACCGACAGAAUAAGCACCGGCUAACUCUGUGCCAGCAGCCGCGGUAAUACAGAGGGUGCAAGCGUUAAUCGGAAUUACUGGGCGUAAAGCGCGCGUAGGUGGUUUGUUAAGUUGGAUGUGAAAUCCCCGGGCUCAACCUGGGAACUGCAUUCAAAACUGACUGACUAGAGUAUGGUAGAGGGUGGUGGAAUUUCCUGUGUAGCGGUGAAAUGCGCAGAUAUAGGAAGGAAC